rnacentral:rRNA from 1 species
UAGAGUCUAGGACGCAGCUGAUGCAGCGACGCCGCGUGAGGGAUGACGGCCUUCGGGUUGUAAACCUCUUUCAUCAGGGACGAUGAUGACGUGACCGUACCAACAAACCACGGACCGGUUCACUACAUGAGCCGCGGUAAUAUAAUAUGCCAGCCGCCGCGAUAAUA